UACGUAGGGUGCAAGCGUUGUCCGGAAUUAUUGGGCGUAAAGAGCUCGUAGGCGGUCUGUCGCGUCUGCUGUGAAAACUCAGGGCUUAACCCUGAGCUUGCAGUGGGUACGGGCAGACUAGAGUGCGGUAGGGGGAGACUGGAAUUCCUGGUGUAGCGGUGAAAUGCGCAGAUAUCAGGAGGAACACCGGUGGCGAAGGCGGGUCUCUGGGCCGUAACUGACGCUGAGGAGCGAAAGCAUGGGGGAGCGAACAGG
rnacentral:rRNA from 1 species